UGUAUUAUACAGAUGGGCUCUAAAUCCAGUGACAAGUGUCCUUAUAAGAUACAGAAGGAGAGGAUGCAGUGACACUGAGGAGAAGGCCACCAGAACACAGAGGCAAAUAUAUUGGAGUGACAUAGUCCCAAGCCAAGAAAUGCCUGGAGCCAUGGGAAGACAAUUGAGCCUAUAGAAACACAGACGGUGCCUAGAUGAUUACAGCCGACUUCUGCUGACUCAACCAACGAGUAGCACCAGUUGAAGCUGUAAUGCCGAACAUGCUGUCUUCGCUUAAAAGAUUAAUGAGGCUUCAAGCACAUGGUUACCACUGAGUUGAAGCAUGCAGGCUUUUCCAUCUUCAUCAAGAAGGAGGACUCUAAAAAAAACCUGCCUGAUUUGAGCUACUUGUGACUGUUCAUAGCUUUCUUCAUCUCUCUCCUACCUCCAGUUGAAGAAAGAUGGCUUGCUAAAAGUUAUAUCCCAUUUCCAGGGCAGCCAGCCUCCAAUGACUGGUCAAUACAGAGAUGAGGAAAUGGAGUUACAAAGAAGUAUGAGACUUGCCUAUGGAGGCACUGAGAUCCAGGCCAAGGUCACCUUGCAGCCAGUUUGCUUUCUGGGGUGCAAUGACCGAAUGUAAAACUUGUUGAUUGUGGGAAAGAAUCAACUUAUUGCUGAUCCAGCACAGACAUCUUAGUUGGUUUUAUUAACUAAUGUCAAGCAUGACAAUAUUCUAUUUUCAAAUCAGAUUCUUGGACUUCUCUGGCUUCAGCCACUGGAAACUCUGAUUCUAAUAUUUGUGAAAAUAAAAUUCUGGUCAUAUGGCCAAAAGUGAACAGUACAUAGCCAAAGUGAAACAUUAUUUUGUAGUCACUUUUAGUUUGUCUAUUAUACUGUGUUUCUUUAUUGCCCUAGAGAAAAUUAAAUUGGUCAAUUCAGUGGAGAAAAAUCAUCAACACGAAGGUUUGAAAUGACCAGUUGUUUAACUAGAAAAAUGGAAAAGUCUCAAUUUGUAGACACAGUCUAAAUGUGGAAAAAUCAUUAAACACUAAAACUCGAGGCAAACUUUACAAGUUCUGUUUCUAAAUUAAAAUCACAAUUAAUAUUAUAAGUCAUUACACUAUAGAGCUAGAUAUAAAUGUAAUUAAUUGAAGUUAGAAAUAUCAUACAAUUUAAUAGAAUUAUUUUACUAAUAGACUUGCAAUUGAGACUCCUUACUAUAAAAUAAGUCAUUUUGAUGAACUUUUUAGGGGGGAAUCCUAAUAGACACAGUUAAUACGUAUUAUUUAUUCCCAGCAAUGUUU